UAGUCUCGAAAUAGAUAAGCACACACAUACCUCUUCAGGGCAUCCACUGUCCACCCAGUCCUGCCGAUGACGAUCAAAUCCACUGGAACAUCUUCAGAGAAGACCAUAUGGCAGAUCAGGAAACAAAUGGGGCAGGCAGAAAUUUUGAAAAAAGACUGAGCUCUGGGUUAUGCUGUAUCAGUCUGACCCACUGAAGGGUCUGGAGACCAGAGAUAAGGCUAGCUGUGGAGAAUCCCACACCAUCGGCGACAUAAUGGCUUAGGUUCCGGAUGCAAAGGAGGCUUCCAUGGACAGAAGACCACACCAAUGUGUCCUGGAGCUCUGAUUCCCCAGAACCCUGUCCCACUAGGGAAAGAGAGAGAGGUGCUGUCAACGCCCAUGUUUAGCGGUGAAGCAAUUACAGAAGCCAGACCUUCCACCUUCUGCAUCCCACAGUGACCUUGGGUCCAUACUCCCAGAGGGUUAAAGAAAAGGAAAACUAUCUGGGGAG